rnacentral:lncRNA from 1 species
ACAGUCACUUUGCUUCUUCCUUUUGUUUGUCAGACCAAAAUGUAUUUAUGCCACUGACCGUUCCUAAAACAAGUGGCAAAGGACUUGGUGGUUGGUACCCGAGACCCAAGUUCGAAUCUUACUUGAUUCACAUUUCCAGCUAAGUUUAUUUCUAAAUGAAAUAAACAAAACGGAUAGCGUGCUACCUAUCUCUCAAAAAAAAAA